rnacentral:misc_RNA from 1 species
GCGCCUCCUGCGAUAAGCUAUAUAAGUCGAGUUAUAUCAGGUAAAUUAUGUGAACAGGUGAAUCGUUACGAGUAGCCACUCAUUUUAAUUUUUAUGUAUUAAUUAAAGAAUAUAAGUUAAUGUAUUAGGGUUCCGUUUCUCCUACAUGGUGAUAGGGGACGGAAUUAGAAAAAUUGUGUCAUUUUGCGUCUUCUAAACUAUUAGCGCUAGCUACAGAGCUAACUAAAACGUUAACUG